AGUAACAUCGUCUGCAUUCCUCCCUUGUCAACCAAGUUUCUUCUCGCAGAUGUUCUGAAUCUCUUAAUGCAUGGAUUGCCAGCUAUGACUUUAGUUUUGUUCAGAAUGCCUUGUCGAACCCUGUGUGUCUGUUCUUGUUUCAUGCUUCCUUUUGCUU